CAUUGGGUGUCUUGAGCGAUUCUUCGGAGAUCGGAAAAGUUCCAAAACACCGGGCAUAAUUUAUAUCAAAACGACGAGCAUGAAGAGUGGAGUAACUUACCCAACUAGAUCGACAGCCAAUUUGGCCGGAAAGCACCUCAAAUCACCAGAAAACAGAUCUGAAAAACCUAGAAAUUUCUAGGUUUCGAUCUGUGAAAUCACGGUGGAAUCUGGCCAAAUCUUUGAGGGGUUAUGCCAAAGAGGGGUGGGGGAGUGUUUUGGAGAAGUUUGGAGGGUAGCCGUGGCCGGUGGUGUCUGGAAAACCACCUGGUUUUUCACGGGUUCGAAGACUGUUUUUGGGACGUGUGUUUCGUUCAAAUUUCUGCAAAAAUCACAAGGAUUCGAGGUUAGUUAAGCUUGCAGGGCUCGCCCUUUAAAUAAUAUUAAUUAUUAAAUUUCAAUAAUUAUUAUUAAUUAAUUCAUAUUAGUUUAUUUAAUUUACUUAU
rnacentral:lncRNA from 1 species